rnacentral:rRNA from 1 species
UACGUAGGGUGCAAGCGUUGUCCGGAAUUAUUGGGCGUAAAGAGCUCGUAGGCGGUUUGUCGCGUCUGCUGUGAAAACUCGGGGCUUAACUCCGGGCCUGCAGUGGGUACGGGCAGACUAGAGUGCGGUAGGGGGAGACUGGAAUUCCUGGUGUAGCGGUGAAAUGCGCAGAUAUCAGGAGGAACACCGGUGGCGAAGGCGGAUCUCUGGGCCAUUACUGACGCUGAGGAGCGAAAGCGUGGGGAGCGAACAGG